AGGGCACAUGGUGGAUGCCUUGGCACCAGGAGUCGAUGAAGGACGUGAACGGCUGCGAUAAGCCGCGGUGAGGCGCUGAAUAGCCUAUGACCCGCGGAUCUCCGAAUGGGGAAACCCAGCGCUGUUAAUACGGCGUUACCUCCCGCUGAAUAUAUAGGCGGGUAGGGGGCAAGCCGGGGAACUGAAACAUCUCAGUACCCGGAGGAAAGGAAAUCAACCGAGACUCCCCGAGUAGUGGCGAGCGAAAGGGGAAUAGCCCAAACCGGGCUGGUGUAAGCGCGUACGCGUUGCCAGUUCGGGGUUGUAGGGCCUCUGUCCGAGAGGUACGUCUCUCGGCGGGAGUUACAAAGUUACUCGAUAGCGGAAGCGCGUGGAACCGCGCACCACAGAGGGCAAUCGUCCCGUACGCGAAAUUGAGUGACCUCCCGAUGAGGUACCUGAGUAGGUCCGCUCCCGUGAAACGCGGACUGAAUCUGGGGGGACCACCCUCCAAGGCUAAGUACUCCCUGGUGACCGAUAGCGG
rnacentral:rRNA from 1 species